CAGAAUCUGGACUUAAGACAUCACAAUGGAGGGUCACUGCCUCUUAUCUAGGUUCUGUACCUAAGCCAUUCACAAACCCAGAGUGCCUUGACUAAAGUGUAGGCAGACAGGCAGAGUCCUUUGAAGAAGGAACCCUGCAACACCAGCACACGUGUAUAAAGGAUUCCUUUGUUAUACUUCCCCAAAGCAGAUGCAAGAGUGUUCAAGAAUGACUCUGGAUUGUCAAAAACGUAAUCAGAUGAUGGCUGUAACUGUCACUGCUCUUCCUUAUCACUAUCUUUAUUAAAGCAAAUAACAGCCCUGGACAUGCA